rnacentral:tRNA from 1 species
GGUUAUGGCUCAGUGGUAGAGCGCUUGUCUAGCAUGUGCAAGGCACUGGGUUCAAUUCUCAGCACCA